CCUACGGGAGGCAGCAGUGGGGAAUAUUGCACAAUGGGGGAAACCCUGAUGCAGCAACGCCGCGUGGGUGAAGAAGUAUUUCGGUAUGUAAAGCCCUAUCAGCAGGGAAGAGAAUGACGGUACCUGACUAAGAAGCCCCGGCUAACUACGUGCCAGCAGCCGCGGUAAUACGUAGGGGGCAAGCGUUAUCCGGAUUUACUGGGUGUAAAGGGAGCGUAGACGGUUGUGCAAGUCUGAAGUGAAAGCCCGCGGCUCAACUGCGGAACGGCUUUGGAAACUGUGGAGCUAGAGUGCUGGAGAGGUAAGUGGAAUUCCUAGUGUAGCGGUGAAAUGCGUAGAUAUUAGGAGGAACACCGGUGGCGAAGGCGGCCUGCUGGACUGCAACUGACGUUGAGGCCCGAAAGCGUGGGGAGCAAACAGGAUUAGAUACCCCGGUAGUC
rnacentral:rRNA from 1 species